UACAAAAAAAAUAAAAAAUAAAAAAAUUCAUCGCACCCAUAUGGUAGAGAGAGAGGGAGAGGAAAGAGUGUUUGAAAUCAGAAAAUUUCAUACCGUCAAUGGUCUUAAUUUCACCAAGGCAGAGAAAGGAAAGAACGUGCAUUCAGAUUUUAUCUUUCAAUAGCGUGUUUAUGCAAGAUUAUGAAGAAAUUGAGCUUCUAUCAUAGGAUCCCAAAAUCAAAAGAAGUUUUAGACGAUGGAGAAGAGAAUAGAGAGAAGCAAGAAAAAUGGCUGAAAAUCAAAAUCAAAUUCAAUUACCACUAGAUCUACUAGAACAACGAGAUCCAUUAAGAGCAAUUGCCGAUCGUGAAGAAGCUUCUAUGAAUUAAGUCCCACCUCAGCUCCUGUGCAACAGAAUAUUAUAUAUCUACCUUUUGGACAUGCUAACUUCUACAUUCAAUUAGAUGUGAUCAACUUGUUUCGAAAUCAUCAGGGCAUCAGCUUUUCUAGAAGAUCAACUGAAAAUCCUCAGGCAUUUUUGAUGCAUUGCGAUAUGAUCAGUCACAAAGGCAUGUCUAUUGACACUUUUCGACGAUGCCCAUGUCCUCACACUUUAAAGAAAGGUGCACGAGAAUGGUACAAAAAAUUAAAAACUAGCAAAGGCAGUUUGUCUAAAAAAGAAGAGAUUCAAAGACAUUUGAUGGAACCAAAUGAAAAGAUGUAGCUGAUGCAAAUUUUGAUAUUUUGAAUUGGUGGAAGAUAUAUACUCCAAGAUUUAAAACUUUGUCAAAUAUUACAAGAGAUGUGCUUGUCAUUCAUGUAUCUACAGUUGCUUCUGAGUUAGCAGUUAGUGCUGGAGGGCGCAUUCUUGAUUGUUUAGGAGUUCUUUAACACCUAUAACAGUCGAAGCUUUAAUUUGUACCCAAAAUUGGUUAUGAGAAGAAACUAGACUUUUGAGAGUAACUCAAGACAGAAUUUGCAUUGGGGAGACGGAGUUCUAUGAAGAAAUUGAGUUUGGUAAUAAAAAUUUCGUAAAAUAUUUUCACGUAACAUCUAAUUAAUUGUAAAUGAUUUUAAUUUAUUUUUGUUUGUUCAAAUGUGUAUUUGAAUUAUGUUUGUAGAGUUUCUUAAAGUUACAACACAAGCAAUGGGGUAUUAAACGGUUAAUGAUUGUCUAGAUGCUAAGGGCUAAGUUUCUUGGGUCGGUCAUUUUGUCACCAUUCCUAUCUACUAUUUUUAAGUUUUAAUUUUAUAUUUCAGUUUCAUAUUUCAUUUUUCU